GGCCCCGUAGUUCAACGGAUAGAACGGAAGUUUCCUAAACUUUAAAUAGCAGUUCGAUUCUGCUCGGGGCUA
rnacentral:tRNA from 1 species